AAAUGAAUAGACGGGGGCCCGCACAAGCGGUGGAGUAUGUGGUUUAAUUCGACGCAACGCGAAGAACCUUACCAGGGCUUGACAUCCUCUGACAGCCUAAGAGAUUAGGUAUUCCGACUUCGGUUGGACAGAGAGACAGGUGGUGCAUGGUUGUCGUCAGCUCGUGUCGUGAGAUGUUGGGUUAAGUCCCGCAACGAGCGCAACCCUUAUUCUUAGUUGCCAGCAUGAAAGAUGGGCACUCUAAGGAGACUGCCGGUGACAAACCGGAGGAAGGUGGGGAUGACGUCAAAUCAUCAUGCCCUUUAUGUCCUGGGCUACACACGUACUACAAUGGCCUGUACAAAGGGUAGCGAAGCCGCAAGGUGGAGCCAAUCCCAAAAAGCAGGUCUCAGUUCGGAUUGCAGGCUGCAACUCGCCUGCAUGAAGUCGGAAUCGCUAGUAAUCGCGGAUCAGCAUGCCGCGGUGAAUACGUUCCCGGGCCUUGUACACACCGCCCGU
rnacentral:rRNA from 1 species